UUCAGUAGGUUUAUUUGCUGUAUUUUGUCCAGUAUCAUGUGUUUUAAAAUGGAGCAAAAAAAAUACAGUGGUAUGAAAAGGUUUGGGCACCCCCGGAACAGCAAUUUCAAUUAAAUAUGAUUGUCAUUCACAUUUUCCUCUAAAUUUGUGUUGUUUGUCCUCCAUUUCAAAUUUAAGGGUGAUGAUAUCCAGGCAUUCCUGGAGGAAGCCACUGUGUUAGAUCCCAGAUUUAAAUCUAAAAUGGACAGGGAUGAAAUCUGGGACAGAUCAGCAGUUGCAGCAAACACAGAGGCAGAUAAGAUCGAGAAGCUGUCAUAGCAAAGAGAGACACAGGGGCAGGCAGAAGAAGAGGAUGGAGAAGAAGAAGAAGAGGAGGAGGAUUACAUGCCACCUGUAAAGCAGAAAAAGAGGACAGACCUAUAGAAACUUUUUGAAGAAGAGGACAGCAAGCUGCUUUCCACGCAGCAGCAGCCCCCUGUCUCCACAGCCCAGAGAGUGGAGCAUGAAAUCCAGCUUUACAGAAGCCUUCCUUCCAUUCCAACCAAAGACAGUGCCAGUUUCUGGUGGUAGAAGAAGAGUGACACCUUGCCAGUGUUCUCAGCUCUAGCUGAGAAGUAUCUCUGUGUCCAAGCAUCCUCAACCCCUUCUGAAAGGGUGUUCUCCACUGCUGGAGACGCCCUAAGUCGAGAAAGAUCUUGUAUCCUUCCUGAGAGGGCAAACAUGAUCAUUUUUCUGCACAAAAUUGUUGAUUUACCUGAGUUGAUCGUUUUGGUCUUGACUGAAGACUUCUUUGUAUUGAUUGUAACUCAGUUGAGUGAGUUGAAUUUUUUGAUUUCAGGUUGAAUCCAAAUGAGCACUGUUAAAUGUUCUAAAAGGCAGAAGCUCUUCUUGACUGUUUUCAGUUUGUGUUUUUAGUUUUUAUGCCACAUGAAUGGCAGUUUUUUUUUUUGUCUGGACCAUUGACCAAUGAAUGUGAAAAUUAACAAUUUCCACAAAAGAAACUCUUCUAGCACUUUACUUUGAGAAAUAACUUAGCUACUUUAAGUUUGUUUUGAGGUUGCUACACAUACUUAGUGUAUACUUUGUGGUGUGGCUUAAAGUUAAUUAAAGCGAGUUAUAACAAACAAACAAUUUGUACUUAUUCCCUCACCAUAUGAGAAUCGAUAAGGAAUCGGACUGUUAAGCAAUAUCGAUAAGGAAAUCGGAAUCGUAAAAUUCUUAUCAAUUCCCAUCCCUAUCUGCAGUUGAUUCCUCCCUGUCCCUAGACAAAACCGGAACAGUGCAAUCACAACUGAAAUCAUUAUGCUAAUUGGCUUAGCUGCUUCAGACUGAUCAAACACCGGAGAUGUGAGUGACAUCAUUAAUAACCUGUAGUCGCCUCCAUCGAGUUUGUUUGCAAUUGAGAUCUCAGCAUAAAAUAUUUGUUUAUGUACAAGUAUCGAUGGACCUAACAAUAUCCAUUCUUGGUAACAUGC